rnacentral:rRNA from 1 species
AACGCUAGCUACAGGCUUAACACAUGCAAGUCGAGGGGCAGCAUGAACUUAGCUUGCUAAGUUUGAUGGCGACCGGCGCACGGGUGAGUAACGCGUAUCCAACCUUCCGUACACUCAGGAAUAGCCUUUCGAAAGAAAGAUUAAUACCUGAUGGUAUGAUGAGAUUGCAUGAAAUCAUCAUUAAAGAUUCAUCGGUGUACGAUGGGGAUGCGUUCCAUUAGAUAGUAGGCGGGGUAACGGCCCACCUAGUCGACGAUGGAUAGGGGUUCUGAGAGGAAGGUCCCCCACAUUGGAACUGAGACACGGUCCAAACUCCUACGGGAGGCAGCAGUGAGGAAUAUUGGUCAAUGGGCGCGAGCCUGAACCAGCCAAGUAGCGUGAAGGAUGAAGGUCCUACGGAUUGUAAACUUCUUUUAUAAGGGAAUAAAGUCACCCACGUGUGGGUGUUUGUAUGUACCUUAUGAAUAAGCAUCGGCUAACUCCGUGCCAGCAGCCGCGGUAAUACGGAGGAUGCGAGCGUUAUCCGGAUUUAUUGGGUUCAAAGGGAGCGUAGACGGGUCGUUAAGUCAGCUGUGAAAGUUUGAGGCUCAACCUUAAAAUUGCAGUUGAUACUGGCGUCCUUGAGUACGGUUGAGGCAGGCGGAAUUCGUGGUGUAGCGGUGAAAUGCUUAGAUAUCACGAAGAACUCCGAUUG